GGUUAGUCGAUCCUAAGAUAUGGGGAAUCCUUGUAUCAAGGGUGCACUCUGUAUGAACAUUGAAAGAGAAUUGGGUUAAUAUUCCUAAACCAGGACAUGGUGGUGGACGACAAUGUUAGGAAAUUUGGAGAUGUCAUUGGGGGCCUGGGAAGAGUUAUCUUUUCUUUUUAACACAUUUGAAUCAUAACCACUACAAUUUUUAGAAUCCCAAACCCCUAAACCCUUGAAAAUUUAACCCAAAUAUUUAACCCUUAUAACCCAAAACA
rnacentral:ncRNA from 1 species